GUGGUGUUUAAAAGAGGGUGGUGUGAUCAAUUUGAGGAUAAGUUGUUAGAGAAUGCCCUGUAAAAAAGGUAUUACCAGAGUCAGGCUUUGAAGUAUAGGUAGAUUUUAAAGGGGGCAGAGGUGGGAAACAGAAUGUCACAGAAUUUGAAAUAGAAGCUGCAAAUUGGGUGCAGAAAAGAGCAAGAAAACUGGCACCCUUUUUCUUAGGGUUUAUAACUACAAAAAUGGACAGUGCAUUCAUAUUUGUCAAGGUUGGCAUUGGACUCAGUCUUGACAGGGGAGGAAAACUUGAAAUGAAUCUCAGGAUGAAUAGGAUUUAGAUGUAUGUUUUCAUGGGUGGCAGGCAGUUCAUCAGGGUUAGAGGGAGCUCUUAUGUCAACUGGUGAGAAUUUGUAUAAUGAAACUGUACUAAUUGUGAAUAGCCAACAGCAUUUCUGUCUCUGAGCUCUCGUGGGUGCGGAUCGACAGGCAUGGAAUUGCUCUUAUUUACAGUGGAACCGCAGUCUGAGUGGAAGUGUGAGUGAGAGAGAAAAACACUUUCUACACAAUCAAUCACCUGAUGUUCUUACUGAAAAACAUGUUUAACACUGUCGGCUCAGACUUUGAGGCUGCUAUGCUACGUGCUGGAUUCCCUUGAAGUCAUUCAAUCCCCAUCCGUGAAAGGAAUUAUGGUUGUGGACAUCACCUCAGAACUACUAACUUUUCAAUACAAGAUGUCUACUUCUUUCCUGAGAUAUAUUAUGCAAAUUGGUUCACAUAAUUGAGGAAGCUGAGUAUACCCACGACAUGCUGGCUAUAAGCAGGAGAACCAGGAAAGCUUAUGGUAUAAGUCAUGGAAUCCUCCAAAAGCUAAAGAAAUAGAAACUCUAAUAUCCGAGGGCAGGAGAAGACUGACGUCCUAGUUCAUGAUCUGUGAGAAGGUUUUGUCCUUUGUCUUUCUGUUUCAUUUGGGAUCUCAAUGGAUUAAAUGAUGUCUGCCCACAUUAGUGAGGGUGACCUUUACCCUGUCUAUUGACUCCAAUGCUAAUCUUUUCUGGGAACACCCUCACAGCUAUACCCACAAGUAAUGCUUUAUCAACUAUCUGGGCAUCCCUUAGCCCAGUCAAGUCAGCAUAAAAUUAAUCAUUUCAAAUUCCAGUCAAUGUCAACUUUUUAUUUGCCUCUGGAACUUUAAUAUGGAUCCAAGGAUCAUGUUGUCUUCUUUUGCUCUAGAUUUCUCUUCUCUUAGGAGAUGAAGGAACAGGAGAGAUUGGAGGACUUUGGCUUUUGUGAUGGGAUAAUUUUGAACUCAAGAAGUUGUUUCACUGAAGUAGUAGAAGUAUAGGAGUAAGUUGCUCUUGGGAGUGAGAUACCACUAAUUUUACUGCAUUAGAUGUGGGAAGUUUGGAAAAGCUGGAGGGAAAGCUGGAUGAAAAGUUCUCAAGGAAGUUUUCUAAGAUUUGCCUAAUCCUUAGGGCAAAUCUUCAAGGCCUAAAUGGAUAGGCUUUGUAACUUCAGAAAGAUGGAGUCCUGUAAAACAAGUACAUCCUCAACUUGCCAUUCUCUAAAGCUAACACAACCCAAAUUAUAGCCUCAUCUACAGCACCUCUCACUGUGCCAUGGAUGGGAAAUAUUGAGAAGAUUCUAUUGUGGUCUUAAUCUAGGAGAAGAUCAUGGCUUACUUUUGAAGACUAGCUUCAACUUGUGAAAAAUUAGCAUUCGAAAUGUGUCUAUUUAUAGUUCUAAACAAAUCAUUCAGAGUCGGUGGUUAGUUCCCAAGUUAUGUUGUGCAUCAGAAUGAGCCAGGAACUUGUGGAAGUACAGAUCCUCAGAGCCUACUCCUGGAAAUUCUGAGUUUCAUUCAGCCUUUGUAUCUGGGUCUUUUAAGAAGCUCCAAGUCAACUGCAGAACUGUGGUAAAGCAAAGAAUGAGAACCAAAGGACUGGGACAGUAAGGGAAGCUCCCGGCAACCAGUGCAGAGGUGGAAGAGGCAAGUUCAUGGAGCUGAGAGUUUAUCACUGAGGAUCAACAGGAAAAGACCUGAGCAGCAACAAUAGUCAAGUUGGACAAGAAGGUUGUUUGGAGUGCUUAAUGACAGUUUCGUUGGAAAUAGGCGAGAAGAGGAAGAAUCAAUGUAAUUUGGUAGUUUACUAAAGGAAUUUCUCUUCCAAAUGGUGAUUCAAGGGCCCAGAUUUUUUCUAUCUUCAACACUAGGCUUUCAAAAUAGUCAUCAUUCAUCUGCAUCAAGCUUAUAGAAGAGGACGGAACAUGAAGAAUGCUAGGUGAGAUAUGUUCUUGGUCCAGACUUUACAGAGAAGCCCAUCUUUUAUGAUCAAACACCAUGGUCAAAGCUCUGUCACCUGCUCACCUCCAACCAAAAGAGAAGGUGGGAGUAUCAUCUAACUAUGUAACAAGGAAAAAGAAUAUUCAGUCUUGGUGAACAGUUAACCAUUCUGUGGACACACACAUUCAAGAGUAGGAAUGUGAUAGAAAGUGUGAUCUGCCACCUGCUUCUGCAUUUUCUCAACUGCAAAAUUUCACUUGUUUAAAGUAUUUCAGUGGUGUUUUGUUUUAUGUUCAAAUACAUUGGAACAUUAGAAUAAGAUUCAUCUAAUUAUAAAAAUCUUUAUACAACAAAA